rnacentral:rRNA from 1 species
GCUAGCAGCUACCAUGCAGUCGACGAUGAAGGAGGAGCUUGCUCCUCUGGAUUAGUGGCGAACGGGUGAGUAAUACGUGAGCAAUGUGCCCUUGACUCUGGGAUAAGCGCUGGAAACGGCGUCUAAUACCGGAUACGACCCUCGGAGGCAUCUCCUGAUGGUGGAAAGAACUUCGGUCAAGGAUCAGCUCACGGCCUAUCAGCUAGUUGGUGAGGUAACGGCUCACCAAGGCGACGACGGGUAGCCGGCCUGAGAGGGUGACCGGCCACACUGGGACUGAGACACGGCCCAGACUCCUACGGGAGGCAGCAGUGGGGAAUAUUGCACAAUGGGCGCAAGCCUGAUGCAGCAACGCCGCGUGAGGGACGAAGGCCUUCGGGUUGUAAACCUCUUUUAGCAGGGAAGAAGCGAAAGUGACGGUACCUGCAGAAAAAGCACCGGCUAACUACGUGCCAGCAGCCGCGGUAAUACGUAGGGUGCAAGCGUUGUCCGGAAUUAUUGGGCGUAAAGAGCUCGUAGGCGGUUUGUCGCGUCUGCUGUGAAAACCCGAGGCUCAACCUCGGGCUUGCAGUGGGUACGGGCAGACUAGAGUGCGGUAGGGGAGAUUGGAAUUCCUGGUGUAGCGGUGGAAUGCGCAGAUAUCAGGAGGAACACCGAUGGCGAAGGCAGAUCUCUGGGCCGUAACUGACGCUGAGGAGCGAAAGCAUGGGGAGCAAACAGGCUUAGAUACCCUGGUAGUCCAUGCCGUAAACGUUGGGAACUAGAUGUGGGGACCAUUCCACGGUCUCCGUGUCGUAGCUAACGCAUUAAGUUCCCCGCCUGGGGAGUACGGCCGCAAGGCUAAAACUCAAAGGAAUUGACGGGGGCCCGCACAAGCGGCGGAGCAUGCGGAUUAAUUCGAUGCAACGCGAAGAACCUUACCAAGGCUUGACAUAUACCGGAAACGGCCAGAGAUGGUCGCCCCGCAAGGUCGGUAUACAGGUGGUGCAUGGGUUGUCGUCAGCUCGUGUCGUGAGAUGUUGGGUUAAGUCCCGCAACGAGCGCAACCCUCGUCCUAUGUUGCCAGCACGUAAUGGUGGGAACUCAUGGGAUACUGCCCGGGGUCAACUCGGAGGAAGUGG